UUAGUCAUUUUCAAAAAUUUUAAACAAUUUUAAUAACACAGAUGUCGCUAGGAACUAUUGUUUCCGUCAGCAGGCUGUCGUUUUGAAUAUUGUCAGUAACAGCUGUUCUUUGUACGAAUGGUGGCCAUUUUGUAAAAAAACACAUUAAAUGUGAUUUUUAACAUUUAAGGGUUUUUUACCCUAACCAGUGGUUAUAUCCCUGGGUUAAUUUUUAAAAUAUAGAAUGUGUUUGUUCGAAGUUUUCUCUUCUUUUGAGGUUUUUACACCUAUAAGACGUAAGUUUCACUUUAUAAUUUUUUAUGAAUAAGAUUUUUCAACUUAGUCUUUUUAUAGGAUAGCUCUGAUGAUGGCAUUAAUAUGCUGAAAGUACUUAGCUGAUUUAAUAAAUUAAUUUACACACUAUCAGUCUUUUGAAAACAUACACCAGUUCCCGUUUAGAUUUAUAUAGAAGUGUGUACAAGUCAAACAGUCUUUUUCUAUUCAUUAUCUACAGUAUGGUAGUUGACUUUAGUAAAUACCUAAGACUGUCAAAGAAGAGAGAGUUGCUGAACAUCGACAUUUGGUUCAUCCACAAAUGCAUUAAAUUCAAAGUUACACCAACUUUUGCAAAAUGUAAGGUACCUUCCACUGCUACUCUUAAUUUUAAGUCACAAAUAGAAAGGAAAUUUCUUCAAAAAGAACUUUGUAAACAUCAUGCUCAUUUAGAUAAGAUUAAUGUUCAGCUUAAAAUACUUUAUGACAACAUUGUAAGAGAGGUUCCGUUUGAUAAUUUCAGAGAUUCCAUAGCCAAUCAUUUAGAUAAUUUAGAGUACAUAAAACAGUCCAAAUUCAAUAGAGUAAAUAACAAGCUUCACAAUUUGAUAAAAAAGAAAAAUAAUCUCAACAGUAAUAGUCAAAACACUAAUAGAUUGAUGGGUUCCUUUAAGUUUAGAUUUCACAAACGUACAGUUAACUUGUCAACUUGCUCUUUCACUAAUAAAGAACUUGAUUUUCUGUCCAACGGGUUAAAAUUCUCUACUCUAGUACCUUUUAACAAUAAAAUGGUUGAGGAAUUUUCAGUUGACAUUGAUACCGUAAUAGAAAGCUUACCUUUAGACAACAUUUCUAAAACUAACUUAAAAAGCAAUUGUUUUCUUUCUUUACAAAAAGAUCUGAUCAAAUUUAAUAACAAUGUUAAUAACAUUAAAACCAAAUGUUUUAAACAACUCCAUUUGAUUAGACAAUUAUCCUUCAAACUGAAAAGUAAUAACCUCAUCAUAACUAAAGCUGACAAAGGCAACUGCCUCAUCAUCAUGCAUCAUAGUGAUUAUGUUCAGAAAACUGAAGAGUUUUUAAGAAAUAACAACUUUGACAUUUUAGAUAGAAAUCCUCUAAAUAAAUUAAUCACUAACCUAAAAAAUACCUUAUCUAAACAUAAAGAUUUCCUACAAUUACAUAAAACGAAAGAAAAAACCUUCAUUUUGUCAAAUCCUCAAAUACCUAGACUAUAUGGUUUACCAAAAAUUCACAAACCGAAUGUUCCUAUGAGACCAGUGGUUAGCUUUUACAACACACCAGUUGUUACAUUGUCUAAAUUCAUUAAUUCCAUUUUACAAUCUACAAUAACUUUACAACCUUCUUAUUCUGUCAAAAAUUCUACCGAUUUAGUAAAUAAGCUGUCAGUUUUAAACUUACCUAGAGACUUCUUUCUAGUUUCUUUUGAUGUAAGUAAUUUGUUUACUAAUGUACCUAGAGAUGAAACCAUUCCUUUAGUGGAGGAUUUACUUAUUAAAAGUAAUAUUAAUAGAGUUUCAAUUCCUCACUUGUUGGAUUUACUUAAAUUUUGUUUAUCGCAAGAUUUCUUCACCUUUAACGAUAUUAUUUAUAGACAAGCACAAGGCUUGGCAAUGGGGAAUCCUUUAUCACCUUUGCUAGCAGAUUUGUUUCUUAACAACCUCGAGGUUAACAUAUUUGAUAAUAAUUCUUCGAACCAAAACUCUUUCCAAAAAAUCUUAUACUGGUUCAGGUAUGUUGAUGAUGUAUUGGCUAUUAUAGAUGGCAAUUCUACAGAUGCUGAAAAUAUUCUUUAUUUGCUCAACAAUUUACAUCCAGCUAUAAAUUUCACUCUAGAAACCGAGUCCAACAAGUCUAUAAAUUUUCUAGACCUUACUUUAACUAGGAUGGACAGUAAAUUAAUUUUUUCAGUCUUUAGAAAACCUACUCAGACUGACCAUACCAUCCCUAGAUCUUCUAACCAUCCCUUUCAACAGAAGAUGGCUUCCUUUUAUUGCUACAUCCAUCGUUUACUUAGUCUACCAUUAUCAGAUACUAAUUUCAAUUCAGAAUUAGAUAUUAUCAAACAACUUGCAUAUAGUAAUGGUUACUCCCCUACUUUAGUUGAUAACAUCCUCAACAAAUUAAGGAGUAAAAGGAAUAGAUCCCUAGCUUACAAUCCUGUUCUUAAUAAUUCCACUACAGCAGUUAUGUAUAGAUCAAUAUCAUACAUAGGUUAUCCUUCAGAUAAUAUAGCCAAAAUCCUAAAUAACAUCCCCAACCUUAAACUAUCAUUCAAAUGUAAGGAAAAUAUCAAAUCUAUUUUUUCUCACACCAAAGAUAAAAUUGGAAAAACAUCAAAAAGUGGUAUAUACAAAUUGUCCUGUGGAGACUGCCCUGUUACCUAUGUGGGGAGAACUAUGCGACCUUUGGAAACACGCAUCAAAGAACAUUUGUCUAAGAUUGACAAAUCUAGUUUUGGCAAUCACUUACAUGCUUCUAAACAUAACUUCAGUCCCCAAAGAGAUAGUAGGAUUCUACAUAGUAUACCCAUUAACAACUAUACAAAAAUGAAUUUAUUAGAAGACUUAGAAAUUAGCAGGGAAUUAAAAAGAAAUCCUCAAAAUUGUGUUAACACCCAAGUUCAAUUAAAUUGUAAAUUUGAUCCAAUCUUUAAGAAGUUUCUUUAAUACUGUUAUAUUCAGCAUGCCCAACAAUUGCUCUAGUUUUUUGAACAUUACUUUAUAACAUAUUUGAAUUUUCUUUCAUUGAUUACAAUUAAAUUAAAUAUUUUCGAUUUGGCUUUUUUAAUAAUAAUAUUGUUUUCAAACAGUUUUGGAACUCUGAGCUUGUCCAACGGUGCUUCUCCUUGGUUUUCAUCUAUCUCACUUCUAUAUUUGGUCAGAACUGACUGGUUGUUUGGUUUUUUUAAUAAUUAAUAAUACUUUGAUAAUUUGAUUAUUUUCACAUUUAACUUUAAUUUAAACUUAACAAUUGUCAUUUAAAUUUAACUUUAGUCUUUCAUAUUAACUUUAACGUCAUACCAAUUAGUUAACUACAUAUGACAACUUAGUCAUUUUCAAAAAUUUUAAACAAUUUUAAUAACACAGAUGUCGCUAGGAACUAUUGUUUCCGUCAGCAGGCUGUCGUUUUGAAUAUUGUCAGUAACAGCUGUUCUUUGUACGAAUGGUGGCCAUUUUGUAAAAAAACACAUUAAAUGUGAUUUUUAACAUUUAAGGGUUUUUUACCCUAACCAGUGGUUAUAUCCCUGGGUUAAUUUUUAAAAUAUAGAAUGUGUUUGUUCGAAGUUUUCUCUUCUUUUGAGGUUUUUACACCUAUAAGACGAUAGCUCUGAUGAUGGCAUUAAUAUGCUGAAAGUACUUAGCUGAUUUAAUAAAUUAAUUUACACAC
rnacentral:misc_RNA from 1 species